AAGCUCGUAGUUGAAUUUCGGGAUUAAUUUAUUGGUCGUGCAAUAGUACGUACUGGUAUUAUAGAUUCCUACCUUCUGACGAACCAUGAUGUCAUUAAUUUGGUGUCAUGGGGAAUCAGGACUGUUACUUUGAAAAAAUUAGAGUGUUUAAAGCAGGCUCACGCUUGAAUACAUUAGCAUGGAAUAACGAAAUAGGACGUUUGAUUCUAUUUUGUUGGUUUCUAGGAUCGACGUAAUGAUUAAUAGGGAUAGUUGGG
rnacentral:rRNA from 1 species